UGACGUAGGGGGCAAGCGUUGUCCGGAGUACUGGACGUAAAGCGCACGCAGGCGGUCUCUUAAGUUUGGAAGCUGACAGUUGGUGGCUUAACUGCCCAAAUGUGCUUCGAAAACUGAGAGACUUGAGGGCUUCAGAGGGACAGGAAUCCGGGUGGAGUGGUGGAAUGACGUAGAAGAUCCGGAGGAACACCAAAGGACGAAGGCAGUGUCCUGGGGAGUACCUGACGCUCAGGU
rnacentral:rRNA from 1 species